rnacentral:rRNA from 1 species
UAAUAGCUCACUGGUCUUGCGAUUUUGCACGGAAAAUAUAACGGCGUUAAUGAAAGUACCGAAGUUGUAGACUUAGUUCAUUAAGUGGUAGGAGAGCGCUCUAUCUGCGUCGAAGGAAUACCGGAAAGGAGAGCUGGAGCGAAAAGAAGAGAGCAUGCAGGCACGAGUAGCGAUAAUUAAUGUGAGAAUCAUUAACGCCGUAAAACCAAGGUUUCCUACGCGAUGCUCGCCAACGAAGGGAUAGUCAAGUUCCUAAGCCGAGUCCGAAAGGGGCAGACGAUGCCAAAUUGGCUAAUAUUCCAAUACCAACUUUAGUGUGCGAAGGUAGGCCGCCGCGGGCGCAGGGGGUUAGCGGAUGGCAGUGCCAGUCCAGGCUCGGACGAGGUUAUACAGGCAAAUCCGUAUAACAAUCCUCCGAG